UACGGAGGGUGCAAGCGUUAUCCGGAUUUACUGGGUUUAAAGGGUGCGUAGGUGGGUUGGGAAGACAGUGGUGAAGUACUUUCGCUUAACGAAGGAACUGCCAUUGAUACUAUCAAUCUUGAAUGUAGUGGAGGUAGGCGGAAUGCGUCAUGUAGCGGUGAAAUGCUUAGAUAUGACGCAGAACACCGAUUGCGAAGGCAGCUUGCUACACUACUAUUGACACUGAGGCACGAAAGCGUGGGGAUCAAACAGG
rnacentral:rRNA from 1 species